GAGGAAUAUUGGUCAAUGGACGAGAGUCUGAACCAGCCAAGUAGCGUGAAGGAUGACUGCCCUAUGGGUUGUAAACUUCUUUUAUACGGGAAUAAAGUGAGGCACGUGUGCCUUUUUGUAUGUACCGUAUGAAUAAGGAUCGGCUAACUCCGUG
rnacentral:rRNA from 1 species